rnacentral:lncRNA from 1 species
GCACAUUCCCCACCCCGCGACGCGGCGACCGGCAGAUUCGACACAGAACCCGCAGUCCUUCAGAGACUCGAGAGGGUUCGCUCCACCUUGGGCGCCUGGGAGGGCUGCGGGAUCUCAGGUGCAGGCAGCUACAGUGGAGGCUAAAGCAGAGAGGUGCCCUGAAGAAGAUUCUAAAUACAGGGAAAUGAGUACCGACUACCUACUGGGUGCCAAAUGAUGUACUUCCUGCUAACGGUGCCAAAAAAGAUGAGACCUAGGCCCGGAGCUCAUUGAGCAGUGGAGAAAGCAUGUUUCUGAGGAGUCAUCAGGAACUGGGAUCAACAAUCUACUAUAUUUUAGGGGCGCCUGGGUGGCUCAGUCGUUAAGCGGCUGCCUUCGGCUCAGCGCGUGAUCCCGGCGUUAUGGGAUCGAGCCCUACAUCGGGCUCCUCCGCUGGGAGCCUGCUUCUUCCUCUCCUACUUCCCCUGCUUGUGUUCCCUCUCUCGCUGGCUGUCUCUGUCAAAUAAAUAAAUAAAAUCUUAAAAAAAAAAUCUAUAU